GGGUGAGUAACGCGUGAAGAACUUGCCUCUUAGACUGGGACAACUAUUAGAAAUGAUAGCUAAUACCGGAUAGUAUCAUGUUAUGGCAUCAUAAUAUGAUGAAAGAUAUAUCGCUAAGAGAGAGCUUCGCGUCCCAUUAGCUAGUUGGUAGUGUAAUGGACUACCAAGGUGACGAUGGGUAGCCGGCCUGAGAGGGUGGACGGCCACAAGGGGACUGAGACACGGCCCUUACUCCUACGGGAGGCAGCAGUGGGGAAUAUUGGACAAUGGGCCACGAGCCUGAUCCAGCAAUUCUGUGUGAAUGAAGAAGGCUUUCGGGUCGUAAAGUUCUUUCGGCAGGGAAGAAGAAAGUGACUGUACCUGCAUAAGAAGCGACGGCUAAUUACGUGCCAGCAGCCGCGGUAAUACGUAAGUCGCAAGCGUUAUCCGGAUUUACUGGGCGUAAAGGGCGUCUAGGCGGUUUUUUAAGUCAGAGGUGAAAAGUCAGGGCUCAACCUUGGCCUGGCCUUUGAAACUGGGGAACUAGAGUACGGAAGAGGAGGGUGGAACUACAAGUGUAGCGGUGGAAUGCGUAGAUAUUUGUAGGAAUGCCGAUGAUGAAGAUAGCCCUCUGGGACGAUACUGACGCUAAAGCGCGAAAGCUAGGGUAGCAAACAGGAUUAGAUACCCUGGUAGUCCUAGCUGUAAACGAUGAAUACUGGGUGUUUGCGGUAAUACCGUAAGCGCCGAAGCUAACGCAUUAAGUAUUCCGCCUGGGGAGUACGGUCGCAAGACUAAAACUCAAAGGAAUUGACGGGGACCCGCACAAGCGGUGGAGCAUGUGGUUUAAUUCGAUGCAACGCGAGGAACCUUACCAGGUCUUGAAUCCACUAAAGGAGCUAGAGAUAGCACCGUGCCUCUUUGAGGAAUAGUGAGACAGGUGGUGCAUGGCUGUCGUCAGCUCGUGCCGUGAGGUGUUGGGUUAAGUCCCGCAACGAGCGCAACCCCUACGAUAUGUUACCAUCAUUAAGUUGGGGACUCAUAUUGGACUGCCUGCGAAGAGCAGGAGGAAGGUGGGGAUGACGUCAAGUCAUCAUGCCCUUUAUGACCUGGGCUACACACGUGCUACAAUGGGUAGAACAAAGAGACGCAAGACAGUGAUGUGGAGCAAAUCUGAAAAAACUACUCUCAGUUCGGAUCGUAGUCUGCAACUCGACUACGUGAAGUUGGAAUCGCUAGUAAUCGCGAAUCAGCAACGUCGCGGUGAAUACGUUCUCGGGUCUUGUACACACCGCCCGUCACACCACGAGAGUUGGUUGCACCUGAAGUUACUGGCCUAACCGUAAGGGGGGAGGUACCGAGGGUGUGAUUGAUGAUUGGGGUGAAGUCGGAACAAGGUA
rnacentral:rRNA from 1 species